AGAGUUUGAUCCUGGCUCAGAUUGAACGCUGGCGGCAGGCCUAACACAUGCAAGUCGAGCGGUAGAGAGAAGCUUGCUUCUCUUGAGAGCGGCGGACGGGUGAGUAAUGCCUAGGAAUCUGCCUGGUAGUGGGGGAUAACGUUCGGAAACGGACGCUAAUACCGCAUACGUCCUACGGGAGAAAGCAGGGGACCUUCGGGCCUUGCGCUAUCAGAUGAGCCUAGGUCGGAUUAGCUAGUUGGUGAGGUAAUGGCUCACCAAGGCGACGAUCCGUAACUGGUCUGAGAGGAUGAUCAGUCACACUGGAACUGAGACACGGUCCAGACUCCUACGGGAGGCAGCAGUGGGGAAUAUUGGACAAUGGGCGAAAGCCUGAUCCAGCCAUGCCGCGUGUGCGAAGAAGGUCUUCGGAUUGUAAAGCACUUUAAGUUGGGAGGAAGGGUUGUAGAUUAAUACUCUGCAAUUUGACGUACCGA
rnacentral:rRNA from 1 species